CAAUAGCGUAUAUUAAAGUUGUUGCAGUUAAAAAGCUCGUAGUUGGAUUUCUGGUGGGAGCGAUCGGUCUGGCGCUUAGCGCGAGUACUUGCAUCGUCUCCGGCCAUCCUUGGGGAGAGUCUGUCUGGCAUUAGGUUGUCGUGCAGGGGAUGCCCAUCGUUUACUGUGAAAAAAUUAGAGUGUUCAAAGCAGGCUUAUGCCGCUGAAUAUAUUAGCAUGGAAUAAUGAGAUAGGACCUUGGUACUAUUUUGUUGGUUUGUGCACCGAGGUAAUGAUUAAUAGGGACAGUUGUGGGUAUUCGUAUUCCAUUGUCAGAGGUGAAAUUCUUGGAUUUCUGGAAGACGAACGAAUGCGAAAGCAUUUACCAAGGAUGUUUUCAUUAA
rnacentral:rRNA from 1 species